rnacentral:rRNA from 1 species
UACGUAGGGGGCAAGCGUUAUCCGGAAUUACUGGGUGUAAAGGGUGAGUAGGCGGCAUGGUAAGCCAGAUGUGAAAGCCUUGGGCUUAACCCGAGGAUUGCAUUUGGAACUAUCAAGCUAGAGUACAGGAGAGGAAAGCGGAAUUCCUAGUGUAGCGGUGAAAUGCGUAGAUAUUAGGAAGAACACCAGUGGCGAAGGCGGCUUUCUGGACUGCAACUGACGUUGAGGCCCGAAAGCGUGGGGAGCAAACAGG